UCAACUGCGCGUUUUCCACGACAUAAAACAAAAAUAUCGGGUCUACUCUUAUUUUGUGUGUACGAGUAUAUAUAAUAGUGUGUGGGCCACCAACGCGAAUGAGAAUAACGCUGUACGAUGUUCGAAUUAUUAUAGAAUAUGCAUUUACUUUGACUUUUCAUUGCGCGUGCACUUCACAUACACACGAGACAUCGCAACGAUAAAUAUUACCGGCUGUGUCACGAAUAUUAAAAAACAAA